AGCCGAAGACCACACCCGGAUCGAGAGUCGGAUUGGUGAUCAGACGAACAUCGCCACCGCCGGGUGCCCAGGUGUCGUAUACGCCACCAAAGAACAUGGCCUUGAAGACCAGGAGCAAACAGCCAACGCCCAAGAGGAUUAGGUGAUAGCCAAUGAUGUUGGUCAUUUGAUUCUUGUCACGCCA
rnacentral:antisense_RNA from 1 species